AGUGAACGCUGGCGGUAGGCCUAACACAUGCAAGUCGAACGGCAGCACAGUAAGAGCUUGCUCUUACGGGUGGCGAGUGGCGGACGGGUGAGGAAUACAUCGGAAUCUACUUUUUCGUGGGGGAUAACGUAGGGAAACUUACGCUAAUACCGCAUACGACCUACGGGUGAAAGCAGGGGAUCUUCGGACCUUGCGCGAUUGAAUGAGCCGAUGUCGGAUUAGAUAGUUGGCGGGGUAAACGCCCACCAAGGCGCCGAUCCGUAGCUGGUCUGAGAGGAGGAUCAGCCGCACUGGAACUGGGACACGGUCCAGACUACUACGGGAGGCAGCAGUGGGGAAUAUGGGACAGAGGGCGCAAGCCUGAUCCAGCCAUACCGCGUGGGUGGAGAAGGCCUUCGGGUUGUAAAGCCCUUUUGUUGGGAAAGAAAAGCAGCAGGUUAAUACCCCGCGGUUCUGACGGUACCCAAAGAAUAAGCACCGGCUAACUUCGUG
rnacentral:rRNA from 1 species